rnacentral:rRNA from 1 species
UACGUAGGAUCCAAGCGUUGUCCGGAUUUACUGGGUGUAAAGGGUGCGCAGGCGGAAUGGUAAGUCAGAGGUGAAAUCUCAUCGCUCAACGGUGAAACUGCCUUUGAUACUAUCAUUCUUGAGUCCGAUAGAGAUCUGUGGAAUUCCGAGUGUAGCAGUGAAAUGUGUAGAUAUUGGGAGGAACACCAGUGGCGAAGGCGGCACUCUGGGCCGGAACUGACGCUGAGGAGCGAAAGCGUGGGGAGCGAACAGG